UAAUACAGAGGGGGCAAGCGUUGUUCGGAAUUACUGGGCGUAAAGGGCGCGUAGGCGGCCCUCUAAGUCGAACGUGAAAUCCCUGGGCUCAACCCAGGAACUGCGUCCGAGACUGGGGGGCUAGAAUCCGGGAGAGGGAUGUGGAAUUCCAGGUGUAGCGGUGAAAUGCGUAGAUAUCUGGAGGAACAUCGGUGGCGAAGGCGGCAUCCUGGACCGGUAUUGACGCUGAGGCGCGAAAGCCAGGGGAGCAAACGGGAUUAGAUACCCCGGUAGUCCUGGCCCUAAACGAUAAAUGCUUGGUGUGGCGGGUAUCGAUCCCUGCCGUGCCGAAGCUAACGCAUUAAGCAUUCCGCCUGGGGAGUACGGUCGCAAGGCU
rnacentral:rRNA from 1 species